rnacentral:antisense_RNA from 1 species
GUCAAUGAUGGGCUAGGUUGGAGGAUCGAAAGAUCCGCCGUAACUCACGUAACGGUAAGGCUAAUCCAAUCUAGUUCAUCACCAAU